GGGAUUGUAGUAUAGUGGUCAGUACUUCUCGUUGUGGUUCUUGUUCACUCACUUUGAGUGGACGAACACAACGAUCCGAGAGGACCCAGGUUCGAUUCCUGGCAAUCCCA